rnacentral:rRNA from 1 species
UUUGGUGGCGAUAGCGAAGAGGUCACACCCGUUCCCAUGCCGAACACGGAAGUUAAGCUCUUCAGCGCCAUGGUAGUCGGGGGUUUCCCCCUGUGAGAGUAGGACGCCGCCAAGC